rnacentral:rRNA from 1 species
GACGAACGCUGGCGGCGUACUUAACACAUGCAAGUCGAACGGGAGUAUCGAAGAAGCUUGCUUUUAAGAUACUUUAGUGGCGGACGGGUGAGUAACGCGUGAGGAGCUGUCCUAUGCAGGGGGACAACAGUUGGAAACGACUGCUAAUACCCAAUAAGCCGAGAGGUAAAAGGAUUUAUCCGGCAGAGGAGGUACUCGCGUCCUAUCAGCUAGUAGGUGAGGUAACGGCUCACCUAGGCGAAGACGGGUAGCCGGCCUGAGAGGGCGAACGGCCACACUGGAACUGAGAUACGGUCCAGACUCCUACGGGAGGCAGCAGUGGGGAAUAUUGGGCAAUGGGGGAAACCCUGACCCAGCGACGCCGCGUGGGUGAAGAAAUCCUUCGGGAUGUAAAGCCCUGUUGUAUGGGAAGAGCAGAAGACGGUACCAUACGAGGAAGCCCCGGCAAACUACGUGCCAGCAGCCGCGGUAA